UGCGCACAACAGUUCCAGCGGCACAUUCAAAACAAGUUAAAGGCUAAAGUGGCGAAAGGAGCGUUGAACAAAUGUAAGGGUAUCUUCCAAAAUGUCAACUUUGACUUCAUACGAAACGUCUGAAUAUCCUGGAGAUCCAACAGAACUGGAAUAAGGAGAGUACGAAGAUCCUCAGUGUGCACACUGCUUCCACAGUCACAAAGAGGCGCUCCAGUGAGAAGAGCGUGCCAACGUAUUUGGGUGUUAACCACACCCACUAGUGUGAGCAAACACUGACUAGGAAGCAGCCUCUUCUCGAGCCAUCUGUUGUGCGAAUGUUCAUGCUUGCCAAUGUCCUCGGCAAAGCAGUGCAAGUGGUCAGUUUGAGCAUUUAGGAAUUAUGCAAACGUGGGCUCAACUGGACUUUAUUCUGGACAUUUGGGAAAUGCUUAAAAAAAUACAGAAGCAAAUGAUUUGAUAGAACAUGUACAGUAAAAGUAUUUUUUUUUCUUAAAAAUGGCAAAAUACACCAGGCUUCAAAACAUGUUUCUAAUUCACAGAGAAAUAACUGAAAAAAAAAAGCACAAAAUUCUCAAAGGACCGAAUUACAUACAUUUAAAUACUUCAAUUGAGACAACCUUUUAUAAAAUAGAAUAUCCUUCAUAUUAGCAACCGCCAUUAAACGUUGCUGUUUUAAAAACACUCAAAAGACUGGACGUGUUGUCAUGACAACGGAAAGACUGGCAUGCUUGUGACUUGUUAAGUCAUCUCAUCAAGUGCGUGGUGCGAUUUAAAAUCCAAAACAUUUCUCUCGUUCUGCGUACAGAUGCAGCUGAAUGUGACGGUGCUUUAUGUAACGGAGAAAACACAGUUAAGCAGGCGGGUGACGGGAUUUUCAUUAUCUCCAGCAUGUUGGUAAACAUGAACCCAUUAAAAGGGAUCUCUUCACUCAGUGGUGGCUUUCACUUCACAACCCACAGCAGCUGUUAAGCCUAGAUGAGUGUCAAACCACCGUCUUAAUCACAGUGGUAAAAGCAACAGAUUUUUGAAACGACAAGUCACAUGUCAGAUUUUGGUUUCAAGAAAUGUUGAUACUUCAUAUAAAAAGUAUAGUUUUGUAGGCCUAUUCUGCCCAAGGUUUUAGCUUUUUAUAUGCGAAUGGCCAUCUUAUGCCUAAAAAGUGAUUCCUCAAUUUUUGGCAAGUAACACCGGGGUUGUUCAAACGAUUGCACAUAUGACGGGAAAACUUUGGCAUAUCAAAGUAAGGACAACAUGUGAUAUAUAGCUACUAGAUAUUUAUAUAUAUAUUAAGGCGUGUACUUUUAAGCUAGCGGCUAAAUAAAUAGUCCUGAAAGGCGUGGCUUAACUUCCUUUUAACUGCAGCAAAAUGUGAUCAUUUUACAGCAUUGAAUCAAAGGCCAUAAAUACGAGGCAGAUAUGUUCAAGUCUUCUAGGUUUUCAACAUGCUUGAAGCAGGUUAGCUGAGAAAGGAGGACACCUCUAGCUCAAUUCGUACGUCAUUCUAUGAUGACAUUUAAAAGUCAACACCAGUGAUCAACAUUUUUAAAUGUCUACACAUCGCCGCCAUAACGUUUUGCUGAAUGAGAACCAUCUUCUCUGUGAUAAUGAUUCUCAGAAAAUCCCUGAUGCCUAGGCAAAGCUGAAUCAUCCAUUUCAUCACAGGUACAAUCGUCCAGGUUUGCGCCGAUUCGGUUCGCCAGCUUCUCCACUUCGUACUUGUGCAAGUACUCUUGGACCAGGUAGCGCUCUCUCUUUAUGCGAUCCUUCACGUCGGCCGGAACGUCAGGAAUCAUCCAAGCCAAAAAGAACUUGACAAAAAAAACGACGUGCUGUAGAGCAAAGAGGCGGAGUACAAAUAAUUAUGCAUGGCCAAUGGCCAUGUAGAGACACACUAUACUAAGGAACAUUUCUUCAAGCAUCUACUUUUUUGUCGGUGUAUCUAUUAGGCUUACCUCCAUGACGAUAAUGAAGAGCAGCUUGGCAGCAAAAAUAUGCCAAUACUGCAAUGUGAGGGUGUACUGAUCCACAUGGCCAGGAGGGUAGCGGUAGUCAGGGUACCUGCGUAAUUGGUGUGUUAGCAUUAGCAUUCAGCACUCUGAUACCAAAGUGCAGAUAAAAAAUCCGUAGUAAACAAACAUACAGCUAAGACACACACACACCUGCAGGUUGUAAUGGAGCUGUUAAACCAGGGCGGAAUCUCGUCGUCUUCUGGCCUGCUGUCCAGUGGCAUGUCUUCAAUUUUGAACACAGACAGGCUGUUGUUGAUGUAGCCUUUCAUCGUAAAUCCUGGCUCGUAAGCAUACAUAUACACCAGUCGGGGGAUCAUUUCAGACGUGUAGGCCACAAUGAAUGCCUGCAACAGAAAAAUAAAAGGAUUUUUAUUUUGUGUAUCUGGGCAGUAACCCAGUGGGGAAAAAAAAGUUGUAGUCCACCUCUUACAUUGGUAACAACAGAAAGGAUAGCGACCCCACUCAGGAUUUCCUCCCAGGCGCCGAUGCUGUGAGUUUUGGAUGCCACAGGACGUCUGAACUGAGUGGUGAGUUUCCAGGCAUCGACUCGAACCUCAAUGAUGUUGUUGAAGAGUGCCAGCAGGGGAGCCAAUGGGAAGGAGGCCACAAACAGAGUGAUGAAACCAAACUGGAUCACUGGAGCACAAAGGAAAAUGAUAAGGGAGUCAUUUAGGCAAGGAACACUGCCAUCUGCAGGAUAUUAUUGUCUAGGCCUUGCACUGCAACUGGCUUUGAAGUGCAAGUAUAGCAAUUUAUAGCAAAAAUAGCAAAAGCAAUAAUUACUCCAAAAUUCUCUAUUGAUCCCGAGCAUUAUAUAUAUAUUUUUUUAUCAAAAGCAGAAUUUAUCCAGCCCUUGCACUGUGUCUCAAUAGGUUGCGCAAGUGUACCUAAAAUAACAACUGAAACUAAACUGGCUAUCUUACCCAUUUCCAGAUACUCGUAGAAGAGUUCCAGCUGCCCAAACAUCAGCAAGUUGUAGUCUUGCUCCCAGCGGGUGUACAGACUCUCCGGUUGGCAACGAUUUUUUCUGCCGCGCCACCAGUUCAUUAACCACCUGACAGACGCAACCUUGAAGGGGACCUUGAUCUUCAGCACAUCUGCGUAGGUGGCCAACACUUCCCACGGAGCGUGGAUCUUCACAAAAUAGAUCUGCCUUAUGUGCUUCUGUUUGGAGCCACGUCUGCCAAGUGGAGCGGCUCGAGGUCUGUCCAUCCGCCGCUAACCUCAAACUACUGGAACUCUUCUUCUCUUUACUUUUUACACCUUGAGACCGCCAACAGGCCGCUGGUGGAACAGCAGGCAGCCAACAAAGUUUGGUCAGACACAGUUCACAGCGUUUAACCUCAAUUCCACUCUGCACCCUGUCCUCCAGUUCAGGAAAGCCUCUCCCUUGCCAUCGCCCAUGAAUUUAAAUUUAGUGUCCGGGCCUUGUUGCUGUCCUUUAUGUGGCCUCCAUCGUCCUGUACUCGUGUAAUUACGUUGGGCUGCAAUGCGGGGUGUGGCAGCAUGCACAGAAAUACAGCUACUCAUUUCCCCUAACCACUUUUUCUUCAGUCUCAUAUUGUCCGUUCUCCGCAACAUGUGGCGCUUCUUGGGUGUGCACUGCCAAUGUCUAAUGGUAAACAGUUGCCAGUAAUGACAAGACAAGCAGGACCACCUUUGAUUUUGAUUCGAUGAACUGUAAUAUUGGAAUAUACAGUAUGUAAUUCAGUAUAUCGCUUACAGUAAAUACAAGUUGAAAGUGGAAAUUUUAAAAUGGACACACUUUGUCCAAAUGUUUCACUUGUGUGUCGAGUUAAAUGAAGACUACUGAUAAAAAGUAUGAUAUCCCCUCUGUGACCAGUACUGAGAUGGCCGCUGUGGAAAAUUAUUUCAUGUGUCCAAAUACUCCCAAAUUUGAUCCCCUUGCAAUCUUGCAGGCACAUGUGGAGGCCCGCCUUAUGUUCACCAGUGAACAUUUAAAUGAUACAGCUCUGGCGAAAGUGCUGUGGUUAGAUGAGCCCAAAGUUUUUUGGCAUCAACUCGCCUUGUCGUGUUUGGAACACCAUUCCCACAGUUAGUUUUGGAUGAGGAAAUGUGUUUUAGGGCUGGUUUAUAGCACAAGGGCACAAUGACCCAAACCAUACUGCCAGACAAUAAAAGAGCGGCUCAGGAAGAAGCUUAUCAAGGUCAUGAAGUGACCUCAAAUCAACAGAAAAACUGCUGGAGCUGGAAGUUUCCAGGCUAAUCCAAGAAACUUGAAGGCUUUAGCGCUGGGAUGUCACAUUUGUUUUAAUUAGAAGAUACAUUGAGCCAAACUCACGGAGGGUGGACGACAGUUAUGAUGGUAAAGCCAUAUGCAAAAAUCCAUUACCACAAGGGAAGCAAACGGUUGGACAGAAGUCACAGUUUGAUACAUAGCUUCGGCUCAUCUAAGGGUAGGAAACAAAAUGCAAAACAAACCGCAGGGCUCGAAGCUUAUUUUUUGCCCAAGUUGCCCUCGGGCAAGUUGGAGAAAAUUUUACUUGCCCGAAACAAAAUUUUACUUGCCCGAAUUUUUUUGGAGUUGAUUUUUACUUGCCCGACACAUUUUUGCAAUAAAAAAGACAACACUAUAAGUUUUGCCUUCAUAUGUUUUUAUUCCAUCAUAUUGUGCCUGCAGCCUGUUUUAAUACAGUGUAGAACUUUUGAUGCAAUUAAACCACACUAGUCUACUGUAGUACCAAAAUUCAACCGGAAACAAGCUCUGCUGGUGCGCAGGCGCAGAAGAGCCAGGGACGGGUGAGGGAGCAUGCAUUUAAUUACGAAGCGCUUUGCCGUUAUCAAUGUAUUGCAGACUUACACGAGAAACUAACCGCUCCCUAGAAAACAAAAUGUCGGACCAGAAGCGGCAGAAGUUGCGAGAAAUUAUGCACAAAAUCGUCUUUUUACAGCUUGAAAACAUGGUAUUAUGGCAGGGCAAGUUCGGGCAAGUGAGGAAAAAUUCUACUUGCCCGUCUGCCAUCGCUACUUGCCCCGGGCAAUCGGGCAAUCGUUAGUUUCGAGCCCUGCAAACCGCAUGUGUUUUGUGUAAACAGGAACAGAUUUAUUGACAUUUAAAAUAAAACAUCAAGUUUAGGUGACCAAUGGGCAAUUUAAAUGCUGGUGGGGGGCACAGUGUUAAACGGGGUCCAUUUUUUGACACACUUCCUAAACAGAUGUAUGACGUAAAUGCUCUGAUUAUUUCAUUUUUUACAAUACAUUUUCCUUUUUUCAAUGCAGUUUCAAAGGAUUCAUCCCAUGCAGUAUAAUUACAUAAUUGUCCAGG